rnacentral:lncRNA from 1 species
GCCAGGCAACAAAUGUUAAGUGAAUUGAAUGCCUACUAUGUGUUUUCUGCCUUAGGAGGUAAAAUCCACAGCACUUUCGAGUUUAAUUGGAUUUGUCAGCUGUCAGGCAGAGAAGCUAAUAAUUUGCUAGAGGAAUAAGAGAAAAGGUGCCAUUUCUUCGAACAAGUUCUACAAAGGCUCUUUAGACCAAAGGAGUUUGAAUUUGGCCAAGAAUGAAGGGGAAACUUUUGGAAGGCAGACAUUGAGAAGCAAGGAUGAAACUGGCCAUGUAGCUCAAACCAACCAAACCAAGGUGUGGAUGUUGGCAAACAGUACAGCAUCAUCUAGAAUAUGAAGACAACUUCUCCAUUGAAAGCAUUGGGUCUUACUGGUUUUGAUGGGAGAUAAAGCUGAACAUUUAUAUAAGGCAUACUUUGCAAAGACAUUCUGGAGAGCAAGAUAAGGCCUUUGGAUUUUAUUCUGCAUGCAGUGAAUGGUUACUGGAACAUUCUUCCUAACAAAUUCUAGAUCACACUUAAUAGGGAAAUUUAAAGAUGACAUGAGUAGUGUAGCAUGAGUCCAGCCUUGAUACAUGUAGGUACCUUCAUUUGAAAACAAACUACAUUACAUAUUAGUUAUUCGAUGAUGCCUCAUUUGCAUUAUUAGGGGGUUUCUGGUACACUGGAUCUGCUUUUUGUAAUUUACACAAUAUAUUAUUAUCUGAAACAAGAAUUUUUUGCUGUCCCAAGGCCUGUCCAUUUGUCUUCUAUGUUAAAGACUUUGUAUGGAUUUGCUACAUUAAAUUACAAGAUAGUUUGAUAGAAUCUACUUUUACUUGUUCUGAAUUAACACAUUAUACUAUUUUCUUUCUCACUGCAAAUGUGUCUUCCAUAUCAAAUGCUAGCUACAUUUCAAAGAAAUUAUUUUCAUUCAGUCAAGUACUGUAUUAUGCUUCCUUUUCCAAAAACCAUAAAGUAAGUGUUUAAUCAAAAAGAAGACAUUGGCAAUUUCAGAUCUUUCUUGUCUUCAACUUUGCAACUUACAUAUUCCUACUCAUAGCUCAUUCAAUUCUAUGCUAAUGGAACUAAAGAUUUUAAAAUAUUUGAAGAACAUUUUUAAGACUAAAAUUGAAAUGACUUGUUUAUCAAUUUCUGUUCAAUUUCUACUUAAUGGUAUCGGAAUUAGUCUCCUACAUGUUGUAGUGGGCUAUACUUUGAAGCAAAAGAACACAUUAUAUUUUUCUAAAAUCUGAUUCAGAACUCACUGCUUCUAGGAAAUGUUCAAGGAUUGAGGGUUGAUUUCAGCUCCUGUUUUUUGCUCCUACUCAGGGUCACCUCAGAACUUAGCCAUUAUGUGCUUCCCUAAAGUCACACCUGCUAUUCAGCAUCAACCAAGAGCACAAGGUCAUCAAUAAAUCUUUAAGACCAACUCCUCUCCCUAUGAGACAGAUGCAAAUAUACAGAGGACUCAAUCACUAAUAACUCCAAGAGACAAUAGCUAAGAUAAACAUAUGCUAAUUUAAUAGAUUUAAAAUUCCUUCUGCAUAAAAAUAUCCCAUCAGUUACAUGGAGAGUCCAUUACAGAAGCUAAAGAAAACAUUUUAGACAGUUCUCAUAAAGCUCCAUCAAGUUCAAGGCUAUCCCGACCUGGAUGGUGAAAAUAGGCUUUAGUAGGGAAGGAGGGAUGGGGAGGAGAAAUACUUUGGUUACUAGGGCGAAACGCCUUCGUAAUCCACUCUGAGAGAGUAAGAGAGCUUCUGGGUUGGGUGGAGAGCUCCUGGCUCUCAAUGGGCUCAGGCCAUGGCAAAUACAUUAGAUUUCUUUGAGGUCUCAGUUUCCAUGAGUCCUGAUGGUAGCAAAAUUUCUUAGUUGUUUAUAAAAUAGGGCAGGUUCUUAGAGUUGAGGGUUGAUUCUCUCAGAAGACUGACCAGGUGAAAGCAGGUGCAGGCAGAAAGACAUCAGGCUGUUGGUACUACCCUCUCACCCCCACCCCCAUUCCCUGCCUCACUCCAGCUCACCUCGAGCCACUCAGGCACAGAGGGAGCUCAGCAUGGGUGGUGUUAGACCUCUCAUUUGUGGUGUUUGGCUCUUUUUCUUAAUUUGCCAGGGAAGCAUUCACUUUAGCCAAGUGUUCACAGGUCAAUAACAACAUAGCCUUAUUGAUCAUGCUCUAUUUUUCUAUCCAUGUGUGAUGAAAUCUUCCCCAUGGGUGUUUACUAUGGUAUUAGUUGCACAAAAGGUUGAUCUUUUGUGAUCCACACAAAGAAAGAACGGGUAUUUUUCCCCUUUGUUAAUCAUUCCAUAAGAUGGUCGAUCCUUUCUGUGAUCCACAAAUACAAAGUAACAUUUGAUGCAUGACAGAAAACUAAGUACAAUGAAAGUACAGCUUUGAAAUGGAUGCAUCACAUUGGUUUCCUGGGCCAUACUAUUCACAAAAAAUUCAAAGGUCCUACAUUUUCAUUCAGGCACUUGACCUAAACUUAUACCCAUAGUUAUUGGACCACAGUUCUAUCAACCACCACUCCAGUGGCCACUGUGACACUUUCAAGCUGAGAAAUACACCAUCAGCAGUCCGAUUAUGGUGUAGGUAGAGUGUUAAUGAUAGUAAGACCAUGGCACAAUGGUCCUCCCUGGCAGGAAUCAGAAUCACUAGGGGUAGCUACACAGUCCUUGACCCACUGGGAUGGUGGCAGAGGAGCUCUUAAUUACCUUAGAACACCAUUGAGACAAUGUUUUAGAAACCAGAAAUCCAUAGAGGGUGAGGAAGAUUUUUUUAACUUGACAAAUGUAAGCAAACAAGAAACAGAAUGAGCGUGAAGGGCAGGAUUCCAUCACUUCAGGGAUUUGUAGUCUCUGCAGGAAUAAGCCCAGAUGCCUGACUCAGAUGAGAGAUGAGAAAACCAGAGAAACCCAGCAAUAAAAGAGCUGUGUAUAAAGCCACUGAUUAAGAAUACAGAAGUCUUGGAGUUCCCUUGUGGCACAGUGUGUUAAGGAUCUGGCACUGUCACUGCAGUGGCUUGGGUCACUGCUAUGGCUCAGGUUUGAUCCCUGGCCCUGAAAUGUCCAUAUGCUAUGGGCUCAU